rnacentral:rRNA from 1 species
UACGAAGGGGGCUAGCGUUGCUCGGAAUCACUGGGCGUAAAGCGCACGUAGGCGGCUUCUUAAGUCAGGGGUGAAAUCCUGGAGCUCAACUCCAGAACUGCCCUUGAUACUGAGGAGCUUGAGUCCAGGAGAGGUGAGUGGAACUGCGGGUGUAGAGGUGAAAUUCGUAGAUAUUCGCAAGAACACCAGUGGCGAAGGCGGCUCACUGGCCCGGUACUGACGCUGAGGUGCGAAAGCGUGGGGAGCAAACAGG